rnacentral:tRNA from 1 species
GGUGAUGUAGCUCAGUGGUAGAGCACUUGCCUAACACACACAAGGCCCUGGGUUCCGUUCCCAGCACUGCAA